rnacentral:rRNA from 1 species
UACGUAGGGUGCGAGCGUUGUCCGGAAUUAUUGGGCGUAAAGAGCGUGUAGGCGGCCAGACAGGUCCGUUGUGAAAACUCGAGGCUCAACCUCGAGACGUCGACGGAAACCGUCUGGCUAGAGUCCGGAAGAGGAGUGUGGAAUUCCUGGUGUAGCGGUGAAAUGCGCAGAUAUCAGGAAGAACGCCUAUGGCGAAGGCAGCACUCUGGGACGGUACUGACGCUGAGACGCGAAAGCGUGGGGAGCGAACAGG